CAAGUACUCCCUCCGUCCAGAAUUACUUGUCAUCAAAAUGGAUGUGUCUAGAACUAAAAUACAUCUAGAUACAUCCAUUUCAAUGACAAGUAUUUCCAGACGGAGGGAGUACAAG
rnacentral:pre_miRNA from 1 species